rnacentral:rRNA from 1 species
AUGAAGCGGAGGCAUAUCGAUGCCAUGGCAAUUGUCCAUACCUACGGGAAGCCUGACAUCUUCUUGACCAUGACCUACAACCCUAACUGGGAAGAGAUAACAAAUGAGUUGUUUCCUGGUCAGACAGCGCAAGACCGGCCUGAUCUUGUGGCUCGUGUGUUCCAUGGCAAGCUAGAAGCUAUGAAACACAUGUUGUUCAAGAAGAAUAUCCUCGGUGUUGUUGUCGCACAUGUAUAUGUAGUCGAGUUCCAAAAGAAGGGCCUCCCCCAUGCACACAUUUUGUUGAUCACGGAUUCUGCCUAUAAGCUUUGCGGUGCUCUCAACCCCAAAAAUGUUUGCAUGCAACAAAACGAAUGCAAGUGCAGAUACCCGCGGCCGUUCAAUGAAAACAUGGCACAGGGCAAGGACUCAUACCCUGUUUAUCGUCGUCGAGAUAAUGGUCGGCAGGCUAAGGUCCGGGGUAAAAUGUUGGACAACAGAUGGGUUGUGCCGUAUAACCCUUACCUUCUGCGUAUGUUCAAUUGCCACAUCAAUGUUGAGGUUUGCUCCAGCAUAAAGGCCGUCAAAUACCUUCACAAGUACAUAUACAAGGGCCACGAUAGGGCUUCUUUCAGCAUCGACCAGCCAGACGCCGAUGGUAACAUUGAUGAGAUCAAAAGAUACGUAGACGCGAGGUGGGUUACUCCUCCGGAGGCGAUGUGGAGGAUAUUUGGCUUUCCCUUGUGUGCCAAUGACCCGCCUGUCCUACAGUUGCCUCUUCAUCUCCCGAAUAUGCACAGGGUGGCAUUCAAUGAGCAAGCUCACUUGACUGACGUAGUCGCCUCUGAGAAAGCUUCCAAAUCCAUGUUGACAGAGUAUUUCAAAGCUAACCAAAACCAUCCGUGGUCUAGGAAUAUAUUGUACAAGGAUUUUCCUGGAAGGUUCACAUGGCAGAAGGGUAAGAAGUAUUGGAAAGAGCGGGUGGAGCGUUAUCAGAUAGGUCAAAUUGUGUCUGCCAAUCCUGCCGAGGGGGAGCGAUACUAUCUGCGUGUCCUGCUAAACCAUGUUGCUGGCAAGACAUCCUAUGAGGACCUGCUCACCGUGGACAGUAGGCUUUGCGGGAGCUUUAGAGAGGCUGCCGAAAGGUUCGGACUCAUCGAGGCAGAUAACACGCUCGACGAUUGUCUUACCGAGGCAGAGCAGUGGGUGAUGCCAUGUUCGCUCAGGAGGCUCUUCGCAACAAUUUUGGUGCACUGUGAGCCAGGCGACGUGCGUGGUUUAUGGGAUAGGCACUUCGAGCCUAUGUCUGAUGACUAUCGACGAUCACACACGUGCCCGAUUGAGGUGGAACAGAUGGUGUUGCUUGACAUUAGGGGUAUGUUGCAGUCCAUGGGCAAAGACAUAGCUGAUUUCGCUCUUCCAUGCAUUGACGAUGCGUUCGACCCAAAUGAGGGUGAGGCCAGAGAAGUGAUCGAGGAAUCCAACAUCGAUUUUGACAUCAACGGCACUAAAUUGGCAUUGUCGCUAAACUUGGAGCUGAGGGUUGCAUAUGACGAGAUACUAGCUGCUGUUGAAUGCGGUGAUGGGGGUGUGUUCUUUGUUGAUGCCCGGGAGGUAUAG